UUCCUAAUUAAAUCCAACUGAUCGCAAGUCAAAAAUUCCCCCUUUUCUCUCGUCACACCAAAAACCCUAACUCUAAAUCUCGAAAAAUCCCUUUAAAUCUUUCAUAAAUCCUUUCCAUUCUGCUACUAUAUCCACUCUCCUCGUUACGACGAUCAUCACGAUCUUUUUCUGGAAGAAUUUCGUGGAGUAUACAGAACUGAUUUGAAUUAGAAAUGGGGAUCCUGUCUUGCCUUCGAUCAGAGCUUAGGGUUUUAUGUUUGGAUGGAUUCUCGAUUAUUUCCCCCUUAAUUAGCUGAAACUGUUCUAGUGGACGAGGGAGCAGCUGGAUUAGCGUUUUGUUUCUUUUUUCUUUUUGUUUUUUUGGCAGAUUACCGCAUAACAAGUAAUUCUGUGGCUGAAUCCAUCGUCAGAUCUUCAAGGUUGUAGUGCCGUGGCAUUAAUUUCAGUUGGAGAAAGGACAUCCUAUUUGCGAAGAUCCAAGGUUUG